rnacentral:rRNA from 1 species
UACGAAGGGUGCAAGCGUUACUCGGAAUUACUGGGCGUAAAGCGUGCGUAGGUGGUUUGUUAAGUCUGAUGUGAAAGCCCUGGGCUCAACCUGGGAAUUGCAUUGGAUACUGGCAGGCUAGAGUGCGGUAGAGGGUAGUGGAAUUCCCGGUGUAGCAGUGAAAUGCGUAGAGAUCGGGAGGAACACCCGUGGCGAAGGCGGCUCACUGGGAC